UCUAACCCCCAAAUCCGACCACUCUCCCUCUCUCAUUCACUCUCAUCUGAUUUUUUAAGACCAUUCAAAGUGUUCUCUCAAUAUUCAACCUCAAGAACACCAAGGAAAACUUGGAGGCUAAGUCUUGGUCUAGGAAGUAUUUUCCCUAAGUUGGUUAGGGUUUUUGAAAGGUUUUGGAGGAGCCAAAGCUAAUAGGAAGGUCCAAACCUUAAGCAAGAACACCAAAGAGGUAAGUGCAAGGGCAAGGCAGAGCAGUGAGCGCUGGAGUCUUCCUUGCAAAUGUACAUGUGGACCGACCUUUUGGGAAGCCUUUUUAUUUUUGGAAAUGUUGUGUAAUUUUCCUAAACUAGGCUCACUCUAAUCUUUAUAAAACAUGUUUGUAAUAAAAUGUUAAGUAUGGCCAUACGACUUUUUAAAAAGUUUUUUUUUCUAUGGGUUUUUGAGACAUUUUGUUAAAUGAAAACAUUUAUAUUUCCGCAUUAUCGAGUCUUGAAAAUCCGGGUCGUUACAGUUGGUAUCAGAGCUCGAGUUGAGCCG